UGCAAAUUGCAGGGGAACCGUAUGGUUGAGAAGGCUAAAACCUGACCCUUUGAACCUGUUUGUUAAUACAAUCGUAGGGAGCAAUAAACCACACCGG
rnacentral:ncRNA from 2 species